rnacentral:lncRNA from 1 species
ACCCCUUUUUAUCGGUUUUUAUGAUUGCCUAUUCUUUUGCGUCUGGACCAGGGCCGGCGUCGGCGCGGAUCAGAGAAUCACGGCCACCGGCGUCCUUGUCCUCGGCGGCAAAGUCGACCGUCACAGGAUCGCCUCCGACAAUGUCCACGCGGAAACGGAGGGCGCUCUGAGCGAGCAUGCCGGUGAUCAUGUGGGCGGCGUGCACCGGCGAUCCGUUGUGGUCGCGCAAAAACGGGGGGUCGACAUUGGGGAUGCGCCGCAACCAGCGUGCACGGAGCGAGUCCAAGGCCGCCGGGUCUAGCGGAUCGAGCAGCGUCACGCCAGCGAUCACCACGUCUUUUUCGCGGGUCGACUCGCUCGGCGCAGCCGACCGUCGCGGGGCAGAGGGGCGCGCCGUAACCCUGCCUAUGUGCGUGACGCGCGGCUUGGCGUCGUGCGCCCCCCACUCGCAUGUCAUCUCGAUGCCCGAUGCGAGUUGCACCGUAGCGCGGCCACAUGGCGAGAGCACGCCCGCGCCGAGCGCGUCGUCGUACCGCCAGUGCCAUCGCGCAGGAUCCACCAGACAGUCGUGCGCGGGCGCAAAUCGGCAAUUGUCCGCCGGGGCACCGCAGACAAAGAGGCCGUCGAGGACCACGAGGACGUCAGCGUGACCGAGCAACGCGCAAACGUAGCCGCGUCCAUAGGCAACCAGGGACUUGAAUCCGUCGACGGCGGCCGUUCCCGAAUAGACGGGAGGAUCCAUGCAGCCCUCCAUCCACCUGUCGUCGCGGAGGUCGAUCAUAUCCAUGCAGAGGCCACGGCCGUAAGCCACGGCUGACGAGGCAAACACCGCGACGUGGGCCCGGUGUUGGUCCGUCUGCCUGACGAUGACGAGCGGACACGAGUCGGGACGAUCGGUGCGCGCAGUGUCGAUGACGCGCGUGGCACGAGGACCCAUCGGCGCGCAGGGCACCCAUGCAGGAUCCACAGACGGCCUCGGGCGGUUGAGCGCCAAGACAUCGCCGUCGACCGUGACGGUCUCGCGCAUAGCGCCGUCAGAGUCGACCUCGACCACCCAGAGGCGGUCGAGAUGCUGGCCGGCCGACCAGGGGCGAUCGAUGCACGCAGACGCAUCCCAUGAUUCAAAGGCGGGGCGCACGGCACAAAGGCGCAGCAGCGACCCGACGAGGCUGCCGCUGGCGUCCACGACACACACGAGCGCACAGCGGCGCCCGUAGGCGUCGACGAGGUGAACCUCGUGGCGCGUCUCCCGAACCCGACCGGGUGCCGGUGCGUGCACGGCGAUCGAUCGCGCCACCGACGGUCCCUCUGGCACGCCAGCGGAAUUCCAUCGAGCCGCCCACUUCCACUCGAUGUCGACAACCGAUGCCGAGCGCGCGUCUUUGGGCGCCGCGUCGGUCACGACGACACCGGGCCCUACCCGGUGGCCGUCGCGCCAAAAGCCCCACGUCCACUGCCGGAUGGCGCCGCCAUGCAGCAGCGCACAGAGGAGUCCGGGUCCGCGCACGCCGUCG